ACUCCCAACCCUUUGUGAACCCUACCGUCGUUGCCUCGGCGCUGAGCGGCGGCUACCCGGGAGAAGCUACCCUGGAGACACCUACCCUGUAGGUGGCUACCCUGGAGUUACCCUGUAGUUGCACUUUACGUUCCGCCGGAGGACCACACAAACUCUUCUGUAUUCUGGUGUAUCUCUGAGUACGUAACAAAAUAAGUUAAAACUUUCAACAACGGAUCUCUUGGUUCUGGCAUCGAUGAAGAACGCAGCGAAAUGCGAUAAGUAAUGUGAAUUGCAGAAUUCAGUGAAUCAUCGAAUCUUUGAACGCAUAUUGCGCCCAUUAGUAUUCUAGUGGGCAUGCCUAUUCGAGCGUCAUUUCAACCCUUAAGCCCUGUUGCUUAGCGUUGGGACCCUACCCUGUAGCAGGCGUAGUUCCCUAAAGGUAGUGGCAGUGUUAGGUACACUCGUAGCGUAGUAAUCUUUUCUCGCUCCUGUGGUGGCCCUGACGACUCGCCGUAAAACCCCCUACAACUUCU
rnacentral:rRNA from 1 species